rnacentral:misc_RNA from 1 species
AAGUCGUAACAAGGUCUCCGUAGGUGAACCUGCGGAGGGAUCAUCAAAGAAUUUCCUAUCUUUUACAAAAAAGUUGCUCCUCUCUCUUUCCUCUCAGUCAAUGGGUGGGAGGAGGAGGAGUGCUUUUUUGUCAAACAAACGAUCACAACUAUUGAAAGAAGAAACAGUGUAUUGGAUUGGUGUUUGCUGUGAAUUGGUUGGUUGGAAAAAAAAAGUGUUUGCCUGAUAAUAAUUUAUUGGAUUGGAAUGGAAAAAAAGAAUACAACUUUUAACAACGGAUCUCUUGGCUCUC